rnacentral:rRNA from 1 species
UACGUAGGGUGCGAGCGUUGUUCGGAAUUACUGGGCGUAAAGGGCGCGUAGGCGGCCCGCUAAGUCGAACGUGAAAUCCCCGAGCUCAACUCGGGAACUGCGUCCGAUACUGGUGGGCUUGAAUCCGGGAGAGGGAUGCGGAAUUCCAGGUGUAGCGGUGAAAUGCAUUGAGAUCGGAAAGAACACCAACGGCGAAAGCACUCUGCUGGGCUGACACUGACACUGAGAGACGAAAGCUAGGGGAGCAAAUGGG